GCGUGCGACCCGCUUACCAUGCAGUCGAACGCUGAAGCACCAGCUUGCUGGUGUGGAUGAGUGGCGAACGGGUGAGUAAUACGUGAGUAACCUGCCCUUGACUCUGGGAUAAGCCCGGGAAACUGGGUCUAAUACUGGAUGCUACAUGUCACCGCAUGGUGGUGUGUGGAAAGGGUUUACUGGUCUUGGAUGGGCUCACGGCCUAUCAGCUUGUUGGUGAGGUAAUGGCUCACCAAGGCGACGACGGGUAGCCGGCCUGAGAGGGUGACCGGCCACACUGGGACUGAGACACGGCCCAGACUCCUACGGGAGGCAGCAGUGGGGAAUAUUGCACAAUGGGCGAAAGCCUGAUGCAGCGACGCCGCGUGAGGGAUGACGGCCUUCGGGUUGUAAACCUCUUUCAGCAGGGAAGAAGCCACAAGUGACGGUACCUGCAGAAGAAGCGCCGGCUAACUACGUGCCAGCAGCCGCGGUAAUACGUAGGGCGCAAGCGUUGUCCGGAAUUAUUGGGCGUAAAGAGCUCGUAGGCGGUUUGUCGCGUCUGCUGUGAAAGCCCGGGGCUUAACCCCGGGUGUGCAGUGGGUACGGGCAGACUAGAGUGCAGUAGGGGAGACUGGAAUUCCUGGUGUAGCGGUGGAAUGCGCAGAUAUCAGGAGGAACACCGAUGGCGAAGGCAGGUCUCUGGGCUGUUACUGACGCUGAGGAGCGAAAGCAUGGGGAGCGAACAGGAUUAGAUACCCUGGUAGUCCAUGCCGUAAACGUUGGGCACUAGGUGUGGGGGACAUUCCACGUUUUCCGCGCCGUAGCUAACGCAUUAAGUGCCCCGCCUGGGGAGUACGGCCGCAAGGCUAAAACUCAAAGGAAUUGACGGGGGCCCGCACAAUCGGCGGAGCAUGCGGAUUAAUUCGAUGCAACGCGAAGAACCUUACCAAGGCUUGACAUAUACCGGAUCGUUCCAGAGAUGGUUCUUCCCCUUUGGGGUCGGUAUACAGGUGUUGCAUGGGUGUCGUCAGCUCCUGUCCUAACAUGUUGGGUUAAAUUCCCAAACAACCCAACCCUCUUUCCUGUUGCCGGCCGUGAUGGUGGGGACUCUGGGAAAAUGCCGGGUCCCCUCCGGGGAAGGGGGGAAGAGGCGAGUCAUCAUGCCCCUAUGUUUGGGCUUCCCCUG
rnacentral:rRNA from 1 species